rnacentral:rRNA from 1 species
UACCGGGGGUGCAACCGUUGCUCGGAAUUAUUGGGCGUAAAGCGCACGUAGGCGGUUUGUUAUGUCGGAUGUGAAAGCCCUUGGCUCAACUGAGGAAGUGCAUCCGAAACUGGCAAGCUAGAGUAUGUAAGAGGGUCGCGGAAUUCCCGGUGUAGAGGUGAAAUUCGUAGAUAUCGGGAGGAACACCGGUGGCGAAGGCGGCGACCUGGGACAAUACUGACGCUGAGGUGCGAAAGCGUGGGGAGCAAACAGG